rnacentral:rRNA from 1 species
CCUACGGGAGGCAGCAGUGGGGAAUAUUGGACAAUGGGCGAAAGCCUGAUCCAGCCAUGCCGCGUGUGUGAAGAAGGUCUUCGGAUUGUAAAGCACUUUAAGUUGGGAGGAAGGGCGCUCGGUGAAUACCCAAGCGUCUUGACGUUACCGACAGAAUAAGCACCGGCUAACUUCGUGCCAGCAGCCGCGGUAAUACGAAGGGUGCAAGCGUUAAUCGGAAUUACUGGGCGUAAAGCGCGCGUAGGUGGUUCGGCAAGUUGGAUGUGAAAGCCCCGGGCUCAACCUGGGAACCGCAUCCAAAACUACUGGGCUAGAGUACGGUAGAGGGUGGUGGAAUUUCCUGUGUAGCGGUGAAAUGCGUAGAUAUAGGAAGGAACACCAGUGGCGAAGGCGACCACCUGGACCGAUACUGACACUGAGGUGCGAAAGCGUGGGAGCAAACAGGAUUAGAUACCCUGGUAGUCCACGCCGUAAACGAUGUCGACUAGCCGUUGGGCUCCUUGAGAGCUUAGUGGCGCAGCUAACGCAUUAAGUCGACCGCCUGGGGAGUACGGCCGCAAGGUUAAAACUCAAAUGAAUUGACGGGGGCCCGCACAAGCGGUGNNGCAUGUGGUUUAAUUCGAAGCAACGCGAAGAACCU